UACGAAACGGGCAAGCGUUGUUUGGAAUUACUGGGCGUAAAGCGCACGUACGCGGCCUUGUCAGAUGGGGGUGAAAUCCCCGGGCUCAACCCGGGAACUGCCUUCAUGACUGCAAAGCUAGAGGAUGCGAGAGGUUAGCGGAAUUCCUAGUGUAGAGGUGAAAUUCGUAGAUAUUCGGAAGAACACCAGUGGCGAAGGCGGCUAACUGGCGCAUUUCUGACGCUGAGGUGCGAAAGCGUGGGGAGCAAACAGG
rnacentral:rRNA from 1 species